UAUAGCCCGCUGCCCUUCUCUCUUCUCAUUUAUCUGCUUAAAAUAUGUUUGCAGCUGGCUUAUAGCCUGCUAUUUUACCUGCUCUUAGCAUUUUAAUUCUCCAUUAAUCUCAGAGCCAAUGCUGGGGCCUUGGGAGAACGAGACCAGGAGAUGUGAUGGUGAUAUGAGAAAGCAGGGUCAAGUCAACGAAGCAAAUAAAGCAAGAAAAAGAAAAAGAAAGAAAAAAAAAGGAGAUGUGGCAGCUGCUACGCCUUCUGGUGAUACCGAGCAAAUUAAGGCAUCGACGGAUCGAUCGAGAAGACGCUCCACCCUACCUAACGCCACCGUAUUGCCCCCACAAAAUUUCCAUGAAAGCUACCACUAAUAGUACUAUAACUAAUAUUAGUAGCCACACGCACAUUAGACCUAAUUGUUUCAGCAACAACUUGAUGAUUAGUUAAACAGUACUAUAAAGGGCGGUAUACCGUUUUAACGGAAUAGGUAAUAUCAGUAUGAUACCUAUAUACUAAAUCUGGAGUAAUAGUUGCAGUGUAUCAUGUCUGAUACCGGACGUAUAAGUUCCGAUAGCUAUGGUGCUAUGCUGAUGUCAACUAUUCCGUUGUUACGGUAUAUCGUUAGGUAGUCUUCCUCCUAAAACUAAAACAUACUGUAACUAAAUACUUAACCAGCAGAUUAGAGCAGGUUUAAUAGUAGAGCUCACUAUUUACUAUUAGUCAAUGCUAAAGCUAACAUGUAUAGUAGGUUAGUUAUAAGGUUAUCUUUAUUUUCUUCAUACUCUCUCUUUCUCUCACUAUGAAUUUAAUGCAUAUUUCUUGAAACUUGUGUGUAGUUAGCUCUUACAUGAGAGCCAACACUCUCCAUUUUUAUUUAUCUCUUUCUUCCACAUAAGCCUAUACUAGCUUGCUUAUAGC